rnacentral:lncRNA from 1 species
UCAUCUAUUUUUAUCAAACAAAAACAUUGAACAAGGAAGCAUGAAACAGCAAAAAGAGAUGAUAUAACGAAACAAAGGAGCUAGCAAAGAAUACAGAAGGAAAAGAAAGAUUUUGCAUGAAGAACACAAAAAGUGAAAGUGCUCCCAUACGAGUAGUUUCAGUUUCUUAGUCCACAGACAAGGACUAUCUACAAGCAAAAGUCGAGGAGAUGAGCUUCAAUGAUUCAGAACAAAAAACGGACCUCGAAAUAACAAAAUGAAAGCAAAGAAAACGGUGAUCUAGAAUUGUUAUACAUAUCCAAAACAAUAAGCACAAUAAUGUUCAACAAUCUGCAAAUAAGUUGUGUGCACAACAAUCUGCAAAGUAAAGUCAGGUACAACACUGAUUUAGCACAACAAUCUCCAAAAACUUUGGCACAACAAUCUGCAAAGGUACAACACUGAUUUGUUCUUGCUUUUAAGUCUCUUCGUCAUCGGUUUCUUCAAGCCUCUCGCUAAAACUUGGAUCGUUAGAUGGCACUUCAUCAACAAUCUGCAAAUAAUAUUAAUAUUAGCAUAUUGUGAAUAAUAAGGAAUGUAAAAAUAUAUGAAGAAAAUAAAGAAAAUGGAAUUUAUUAUACCUCCUUACAAGUCCUAAUGUUGUGUCCUUUUUUACCACAUUGCUUGCAAGUUCUUGGCACCCUAAUCUUUUUUUCAAUGGAAGGCUUAAACCUUUGUGGUUUUCUCUUUCCUUUACAUUGUGAUUGAGGAGGAUCUUUAAUCGUGCAUUCUGAUGCAAGCAUAUUUACUUGGCUUGAUUGUGAAAUUACGAUUCUGUGAAGACUAAUUGAAGGCUCCUUGAUUGUCGCUUCCUCACUUUCAAACAUUUGAUUAAUUGAUGUUAGUGUAUCAAUUCCUUCUCUAAUUAUCUGACAUGCAGUUUCAUGUGCCUUAAGAUUUUUUGAACCUUCAAAGAUAAAUUUUUGCAUUUCUAAUGUAAGGGAAUCAAACCUUCGAGAUCUACAAAACGAGGAACCAUCACUCAUUUCUGUACUAUUGCUUGGUAUUCUCUUUUUUGCAUUCUUAGUCCACCUAUUUAAUAUAUAAUGAGGUGGGAUGUUAUAAAUCUCAAUAUAAUGCAUUACUUUAAGCGCAUGAGCACAUAAGAGGCCAUAAAAUUCAAACAAUUUACAAGUGCAGGAUACCAUAUUUUCGGGCCUUACAACAGUCACUAUAUAUGUGCACAUCCAUUGUCUUGAAGUGGACGAGUGUGAUAUAGAGCUGAUCUUAUAUAGUGAAUCUUUUUUCAACUCAAUCAACUUAUAACCCGUCGUCGCUCUUAAUUGAGUCUUAAAUUCUGAAAAAAUAUUUCUUGUGUAUAUGCGGCGUGCAUCUUUCUCAAUUGGAUCAUCUGACCAUAAACUGGGCUCUCUAUCCUUUGUCAUAAAAUCCUCUAAAUCCUCUCUCUCAUAUUGAUUAUGUGUCAUUUUCUCAAAUUGCAUGACAAACUUGAAUAUUGAUGUAUGUGCAUCUAACCAUAUUUUUGCAACGGCAUUCAUACUUUCACUACGUUGUGACGUAGACAUAUUGGCAAAGAAAGUAUCUCGAAAAUAUGCAGGAAUCCAUUGAUGUCGAAUAUUCCAUAGCAACCGAAGAUGGUUAUUUUCAUGCAAUUCAUAUUUAUCAAGCAUUGUUAUCCACGCAUCCUCAAACUCCUCAAUGCUUAAACUACAAUUUAUGCAUUCUUUCAAAUCAUUUUCAAAGCCAUCCUUAGUGUUAUAAAGCACACCAAAAUGCUCCUUUGCUUUUCUCAUCACAUGCCACUGACAACACCUAUGAACAGUGGUUGGAAAGACUUCCUCAAUGGCCUUUUUCAUAGCAGGAUCUUGAUCAGUAAUAAUAGCUUUUGGGUGUCUACCAUACAUGGCUUUAAUCCAUGUUUCAAACAACCAAGCAAAUGUAUUAGCAGUCUCAUCUCUAAUGAGAGCACACCCGAAAAAUAUAGACUGCAAAUGAUGAUUAACCCCUAUAAAAGGAGCAAAUGGCAUACUAUAUUUAUUCGUCAUAUAAGUUGUAUCGAAAGUGACAACAUCGCCAAAAUGCUCAUAUGCUAAUCUUGAUCUUCCAUCUACCCAAAAUAUGUUCCGAGCCCGCUGUUGGUCAUCAACAUCAAUAGCAUAGAAGAAUAACGGAUCUUUAGAUUGAAGCUCACGAAAAUAAUUAAGCGCACUUGCUACAUCUAUUCCAAUAAGGUUUCUAUUUUUCUCAGCAACUUUAUUACUUAAAUCUUUUUUACGAUGAAAGUGAAAUAUAUGUCUUCUCCUCCCCUUGCUUGCAUAAAGCCAUAAUUUUGUGAAAUGGAAAUAUUGUUCAUUCAACAUAUGAAUUAAUUCUUUUUGCCUCCUUGUAAUAGCACGAUGCGACUCGAUAAAAUCGAUUUUAGAAAGCUGAAACGAUUAAUUUCAGAUUGUGUUCGUUGUCGCCGACACCGACAGUAAUCACCCCAUUUUCUCAUGAUCAUCUAUCCUCAUACAAUCUGACCUUUCCACCACUCUCGUCGAGUUAGAAAAUUGCUUUUUAGGCUAUUGCUACCUUCUGAAUUUUUGGCAUGAACUUUUUCGAUAGUUGGGAUUUAGAAGACUGCUUUGAGAGAAUACAAUAGUUUAACAGAUUGAUGCAACAUGCUUUUUUGCACUUAUAAUGGUAUGUUUUUCUUAACUAAAACCACCCAAUUUAAAAGCAAGUCAUCAUGUGAACUUUUUAAGCAUCUUCUAUAGAGUUGAAUUCCAAACAAACGUGCUCUCAAGCGAUUGUAGUGUUCAUUCACAUGAUCUGUUCAGCAGUAGCAAUUUGUUCACAUUCUCAUCUAAGCAUCAUUUUCAACAUACAAUAUGUGGGCAAGCCGAGAAAACAAGAAGAAGCAAUUAGUCAGGAACCAUAUUCCGCUCAUUUAUUAACCUCCUAUAGAUAAAUCAAAUUAUAUUACUAUAAAAUAGCUCAAAUAAUAGAAAAAAAUUGAUAACUCUACAUUUAUAAUAAUGACGAAAUGAGUAGAAUAAAAUUAGAUAGCUAUCAAGUGACGGACAAUUUUUAUUUGUCGAUAUGCUGCACAAAUUUAUGCUCAUACAUAUUUGAGAAUACGCUCAACAAAAGAAUGAUUUUUUGCUUUCUAGAGGUGCUUCAACCUCAUAAUUCAUUUCUCAUGUAAAAAUGAAUACCUUAUGUAAAAAUGACAUAAUGACUAAUCCCAAGAACUGAGGAUCCAUGAGAUUAAAACAACAUCCCCAGCCAAAAAGGUAAUUUCCAAGAGCACUUCAAAAGAAAUGCUUCAUCUAGUUGACUCAAUUAUUCAUGUAUUUCCAUUCGUCACCAAACGAAAAAAUUAUCAAAAACCAAAUCAAAACGACAACAAAAACAAAGAUCUAGGCGAGAUGCUUACCUUCGAGAUUGCCGAACGGCGUAACGGACGAGGUGCGGGAACGCCACAGUGGAGAACAAAUCUCAGAUCGAUUGCCGCGGAUCGAAUCGCGAGUAGCUCACGGGCCGAGUGCCGCGCUCGUCAGGGAGCUGAUAUUGUAGCCGCAGGCCCGGGAAGGCGCGACGGCGGAGGGGUCUUCCGGGAUGAACUUUAGCGCGCGGCCCGGAAAGCUUCCGCGCGAGUCGGGUCGCGUCCAUCGAGAAUUGUUAGCGCCGCGGCCCGAAAGGCGUCGGCGCGGCAGGUGGCAGACUUACUUCGGCGAUCGUACGAGCGUCGAUAGGGAUAGAUGACGCACCAACGUAAGAGGGAAAGAGAAGAAUAUGGGAGAAAAAAAGAAUAAGAAUAGAUCUGGUGGGGAACUCAGAGAGAGAGAGGGAAGAGAAAGACGGGGGUUGUAGAGAAAGAAAAAAGAGAGCAGAAGUUGGGUUGCAGAGGGAAAAGAGAGAGGGGUUCCACGUCGUAGAGAGCAGAAAAGAGAGAAGAAGAGAGUCAAGCGCCGUUAUUUGGGCCUGCGUCUUAGUUCCACCAAUAAUAUGCGCGGAUCUCGAGCGAGCCGAUUCGCAAUGGUGAAAAAGUCCAACGCAUCAAGAGCUCGCUGUGACUUUUAAAAGCACAGGAGCUGCUACUCUAUAUAUAUAUAUAUUAUCUAUAUAUAUCUAUAUAUAUAAGUAGUAUACUAGAAGUGAGGCUACCUAUGGCUAUCGGAAGCAAGGAACUUCGAUGCUUCCCAGUUCGUUUUCGAUGUUGCGACUUUCGAAUCGAUGAUCGGCUCCGUUAAACCUUGAUCUAGAGUGUUUGAAGUACCUAGAAAAUAAUUUAGAUUUUACGAUAUUAUUUGUAGUGACGAGGGGCCAAAAUCAACGCUUGAAAAUAGAAAUCUUACAAAAUGUAACAAUAUACGACAUAAAAUUUUAAUAAAGAAUACUUGAUCUUGUUUUUAUAGUAGAUAAUAAGGAAUUUUCUAUCAAAAUUCUCACGUGAUUUCGGAUAUUUCUACACCAGUUAAAACUCUGCAAACGCAUUCACUACGGUCAUUGAAAUUCUGCUGAUUUUGAGUCCAUUACGAUCACUAGGCAAAUGAUAUUGAAAAUAAUAAAUCUAUAUUUCUAGGCACUCCAAUACUCUAGAUCAAGUUAAACGAGCCGUCAUCGACGAUUUAAAAAGUCCAACAUCGAAAACGAACUGGAAGGCACGAAGGCUCCGUGCUUCCAUAGCAUAGUAGCCAUUCACUCUAUAUAUAAAUUAUAUAUAUAUAAUAUAUAUAUAUAUAUAAUUUAGAAAUGCUAUAUACUAUCAUAGUCCAAGCGCCUUGCUACUCUAAAUUUUGGCCGUCGAUAAAAGAAUGUGCGGUUAGAUUGAUAGUGAUGCCGCGGUUAAAUUAAUAGUGGUCCCUAGGGUAGUGGGUGUUGUUAAUAGUAUUAUCUACGAUGGAAGAUCAAAGGGGAUAUUUUAAUGGUAGGAAACUACAAAUAGACCAAACGGUUUGCUAACUAUCAACUAUAAGAUGGUAAAAAGCGGACUAUAUAUAUAUAUAAUAUAAUGGAGUAAAAUAAAUAGGCUUAAAUGAACUAUGUCCUCAAACUAGAAUCAAGUAAAGUUUAGUCCGCCAAAUUUAAUUUACUUUAAUUUCUGACUUUACAUUUAAAAAAAAAUUUAUGCUAUCUAGUUUAUUCUUUUUUAGAAACAAUUUAACUAAAUAUAUUUAAUAAUAUAUAUAGUUUCGAACUUGAAGAAACUACAUACAACCACAAUUUGUGCACUUGCUCUAAAAUGGUUGGUAACUUUUCAUAAAUUAUGUAAAUUGUUUAUACAUUAUUGACUAAAUAUAAUGUUCACUGAUAUAAAUAAUUAUUAUAUAUAAUAUAUAUUAUACAUUAAUAAUUGAUAUGUGAAAUAUUACUGCACAGUCUGGCCGCAUGCUAUAUUAAUCAAUUAGAUGGGCAAUAUAUGAUAUUAUUAUAAGCAAUCAAAAGAAUCAACAUCAGAAAUAAAAAUUAAAUUUAAGGAUCAAAAUGCAUUAGAUUUCUAGAUUGGGGAUGGAAAUCUGGCAAUUUAGCCGUACAAUAGCUACUUGGUGGCAUUAGGGAAAUUGGAAUUUUCGUUCAAACAGCUUGAUGCGAUGAGUAGAAAAAUAAUAGUCACUUAGAGUUAAGCGUAAAAUGUCAAUAAAAUUGUAAAAUUAAAGCCACUUUAAAAUGGCACCAAUUGCAUUCUCUUUUUUUUGAAAUUAGCCCUUAAACAUUUUGUUAUAUAAUUGGCAUAUUCACUCUUGAACUUUUUUCACUUUAAUGCUGGUCCUCUAAUUUCGAAUUGUUUUCGUUAGGGAUAUUCGCCUCUGGCUUCAUGGUUGACCUUAAACUUUUUAUUUUAAUUUAACUUUUGUUAAGAAUAUAAUUGACGGCAUCCCUUAGAGCAAUGCAAAGGCUUGACGAUGGUACUGGAGGUCCUAGAGUUCAAAUACUAUGGAUUCACAUUCUUGCUAAGUUUAUUUAAAUGAAAAACAAGCGGGUAGCGUGCAAUGCUAGUUUCUCAGAAAAAAAAAAAAAUAAAAAAAUUUGUUAGAUAUAAAUUUUUUUUUGUAAUUAGAUUCCAAUGUUUAAACAACUCAUUCUAGAGCAAACUAUGUGGGCCAUACUAACAUAAAAUAAAAGUGGAAGAGCUGAUUUUUUUUUUUUCAACCCUACAAAAGAGCUUUACAUUAAAUAAACUAAACUUCGAAACCCAGGGGGGGGGGGGGGGGGGUGGGGGCGGGGGGGGGGGGGGGGGGGGGGUGGGGGGGGGGGGGGGGGGGGAAAAUAUAAUUAAAGAUUAAGGGCUGUGUUUUGGAUUCGCUUUUUUUUUCAGCAUCCUGAAAAAUCGGAAUCGGAAUGGAUAAUCCGUUGUGAGUAGUUUGGUAGGCGGAGUCCAUUCCGAAUUCCGAUUCCAAGAGUGAAUGUGACAUCCCAAUCACCACUUUUCAAUCCGGCCAUAAGAGACUGAUUGAAGUUGAAUCCGACGGAAUGGAUAUUAUUCGAAUUAAUUUUCAUUUUUCAAUUUUUUAAUAUAUAAAUGAUUAAAAUUUAAAAUUAAAAUAUAUAAUUUUAAAUAUUAAUUUAAACCUAAAUUAAAAAAUUAAAAUUUAAUCAAAGUAUUUCGAUCUAACUUAUGAAUAUUGAAUUUAAAUUAAUUUUAAUUUUAUAUAAAAUUUUAUUCAAUUUUAAUUUUCAAACUUAAAUUAAAUUUAUGGAUUCAAUUAAAAUUUAAAUGUAAUUUAAGUUUGAAUUGAAUCAUUAAAAUUUAGUUUCAUAUUUGAAUAUCCAUCAACUCAAAAAUUAUUUUUUUAAAAAAAUAGAUUUAAAAUUGACAUUGUUUCAAAAUUUUGAUGUAAUUUAAUAAUUUUAUUCUAUGAAUCUGAAUUUAACGUAUUAAUAUAUUUAUAAGAUAUGUUAGUAUACUAAAUUUGAUUACUUUUUAUAUCCACCUGAACCAAACACUGGAUAAUGGGAAUGAUAUUCGAUUCGAAAUUCGGUGAUGAACCAAACAGAAUUAGAUAAUUAAGUCAUUUGAUCCGAUUCAUCUUAUUUGAUUCGAUUCAUAUUCCGACUCCAACUUCGAACCAAAACCCUAACUAGUUGCCUCUCGCUGGCGCAGUGAAAACAUUUCCUGAGGGUAAACCAAACACUUUAGGUGAACAUAAUAUAAUGCAAUAAAGGGCAAUUAAUGUUUGGAGACGUAGCACAAACUUCAAUCAAAUUCGAAUCUCGUAAGCAAAUUAAGUAUGAUCCUCUUUACUGGAGGCUAUCAAUGGAAAGCAUUCUAUGCGAACUCACUAGCAAGUUAUAAAAAAGGAGAAGGAUGAUCCAUCUUACUGGGGAGGCCGUCUCAGUUCCCAAACGAGCAUAAGCUUCUUCAUUACUAUCAUGCUGUAAAAAGCACUUCUGCAAGGCUUGAAAAAGUAGAGCACAACAUCCAACAUGGGUAGAUAAGUUUCGAAAGAGAAGAAGUUUUCAUUAAAAAAGAGUUUGCAUCAUAGAACUUAAUGAAUAGCAACCAAUUACCAGAAGGCUCAAAAUUACCAUUUACUAAGGUAACAAGCGCAAAAAAUGAAAUAGUACAAAGCCAAAUGAACCAAAAAACUUCCGUUCCACCCCCAUCUAAUAAGGCAUACUUUUCGAAAAUAUUGCGGCAAUAGUAUACUUCACUCUGCGAAUGUUCUGUAGUUUUCUUAUACAUGAAAAAUAGUAUAAGGGAUCUAUUGUAAAUAAUUCUACAAUUUUCCACCCCGCGCCGUAAAAGUGAAAUCUGAGAACAACGAAUAAAACCUUUAAUUGUUAUCCGUCGCGUAAGAGGAGUAUUCUCAACUUUAACAAAGAGACAAUUAUAAACUGGUCGGUGCAAGGUGGACAAGUUUAUAGCCUAUUUGCGACCCCCAACCCCUGAUACACAAUGUAACAUACGGUUUCUUCCCGUCUGUUUAGAAUAAAAAGUUUCAGGCUUUCUGAAACUCCACGCAAUAUGUAUACUGUUUGUGAACGCAUCUCUCAUAUUCUACAUAAACAAGAGCAUUACAAAGCUAAAAAAGAAAAUCUCGUACACACAUGUGCAUAGAAUAAAAGGUUAUAAUCGUCAAAUGCAAUAACGGUAGAACCCUGCAGAUCAUCUAUCAACAUAAUAACCCAUAUAAUCAGAAUUUUAAUUCUCUCCCCAGAAAUCUGUUGCUCUUCAGUUAGUAACGCAUUUUUUUAGUGGGGGUGUCAUCCAAUUUCAUGUUGAGAAAGUUGGUUUUAUAUUAAGCAAAAACUUCUCUAUUGGGGACUUCCUGUAAAUAGAAAGGAUACAUGAAGGGUAAACGAUGUAUAAAAAUUCUCAUUUUGCAGGAUCUAUGUGUGAACGGAUCUGUCUAUCUCAAAGAAAACUGCAAAAAUACUAGAAGACAAAAAUAGCACACCGUUCUUGGUUUCAUAAUGUUGCAGCAUAGCUAUGAGAGGACUUCAUUUGUUGGUUCUGUAUAAAGAACUGAAUCAGAAUGAAAUUCCCAGAAAAUAUGAAGUAUUUUUUGCAAUUUAGUAAAAUUUCGAAUGACUUACCACCAAAACAAGCCUCUGGAUGGACAGAAAGAAUUGUUCUGCAAUGCAUACCUGAAGACCACAUGUUACAGAUGAAGCAAAAAUGAAUUAAUUGGUAGGAAUAGGUCCAUGUACCAUAAUGGCAGGGGGAUUUCCUCUGUAUUCAAAAAAAGUAAUAUUAAAUAUCAACACACCCUCUAUAGUCUAUAGUUGUAAAUAACAGACACCAGACACACCGUUUAUAACAACAUUUCCAAGUGAAAUGCCUUACCAUGCAUAAUCCAUUAAAAAAAACUAAAUUAAGCCUGUUAAGCAAUGGUUCAAUAUGGAAUUUCAAUUUGCCCUUACUUGAUUUAUCUCAUCAUGUACAGUAAGUCUCUAAAGGCUAAAGGGGUAAGCUUUAAAGCAGUUGUCAGACAUAGAUGGCCUCUUACACUAAAGGGACUUAGAAUGAUUAAAGAUAUUUACAAGGGAAUAAUCAUAAUUUCAACUUCAGGAGGGUAAUAUGAUAUUCUCUGGUAGGAUCCAGAGUUUACUAUUGUAAGUUUGAUAUACUAAUGGUAAAAUCAAGCAGCUGAAAGUAUAAGAAUAUCUAGGCAAAUUACUGCAUCAUGUUCUACUUGAUGAAGCAGGAGUCUCAAACUUACCACUGGAGGCUUAAACGGAUAGUCAAAAGAAAACGCAGCGAUUAGCUUUGUAGGUUAAACCUUCAUAUGGGAUUCCUUGCUCUUCAAUAGUACCGAAAAAAAAAGAGAAAAUGUUCUGCUUCAGAAACCGCUGAUACUCUGCAUCUAUCAUCUGUAACGCAGAGAAGACAAAACUAGGAAAAGACUACAGAAUAAAUUCGAAUAACAGAGAAGAGAAGUGAGCCAUGCUGAUUUUAUAUUUAGACAUUAAUAAACAUAAAAACAACAUUAACAUCAAACUAUAAAGGAAAUGUUAUUCUUUACAAUAUAAUUCUACAACAAUAAUGACAAAAUUACGGCGGUUUAGAAUUUUUCUGUGCCUUGUGAAUACAAACAAUCAACUCGUGAAUUGAUACAUUUUAACGGCAUUAAAUAUAGCACCUCUUGUGAAAUUUGCUGUAAUAUAAGCAUUACUCAAAACUAUAAAUCCGUACACGAAUUCUCCAAUUAGAUGAACCAAUUCAAGAGACUCCUAAUAAUAUAUAGAGAACCAAAGCACCCAAGUUAAGCAAAGUAUCUGGUUAUGUUCAGAUGAUGAAUAUUUGUUCAACAUAUUCUGCCUUGUUUACUCAAAGGGACACUGUUAAUAAUUGAUUUCGACAGGCUUGUUUUUCAGAACGAAUAGCAUGAUUCUUUUCUCGUAGCUGCUACAAAUUACCUCAAGGUACUCCUUAAAAAGAUCAGGAAACUAAGGUUUCACAACACAUAAGACCAAGAGCGUGCAUGUUAAUCACACAAAAAAAUCUCAUAAACACCAAGUAUCAUACGCUAAACAUUUUCUAAGUACCAAACAGAUAUACUACUACUGAGGCAUUUUCUUUUUCAAUUAUGUAAACUUUUUAAAUAAAUACCAUUAACUAUAAAGAUUAUUAAACAAGGAACUACGAAUCAAUAACACAAAACAGCAUAACAAGGGCUACCACCGCACUUUGCACGUGAUUCCAAUCCCAAUAAACGAUAUGAUAAAUCUCAUCUGUAAUAUUAACCAGAAUAAAUGACAUAAUUCAGACUGCUAAGGUUAUAUCAGUCUGGGUUUCUCCGUUAAUUCGCCUCUAAAAGGCAUUCGAAUGUUUUAACCUAAAUUUAACGCAUCUCGUCAAAUCCAUCGAGGCGAGCCAGAUUUACAAAAAGCACGCAUGACGAGAAAUCAAAACUUCCUUUCUGGGCCUGCAACGAGUUUGAAUCGCGGAUCCAAAAUUGAGCCCACAAAACGAAAUUCAAAAAAAUAGAAAAAAGGGUGCGACGCGAUCGAUCCGAUCCGGAUUCCCGAACCUCUGGAGACGGAGCGGCGUCGACGGGUUGUCGAGGUUCUUGCUGCUCGGCGCGACGCGCGGCGCCGCGCGCUCGGCGUGGCGUUCCGUACUCCAUCUCCGGUCUCCUCCUGCGAUCGAAUUCGAUCGAUCCCUCUUCGAAUCGGGAUUAUAAUAGUAUGAGAAGUGUAAAUGAUCUCGAGAGAAGCGCUUAAGAUGAGAUUGAGCCGAGAUCUAUCGAGAGAGGAUCGAGAGAGAGAGAGAAAGAGAGAAUGGGAUUGGGACAAUUGUCGAGUAAAGAAAAGCACGAGGAAAUGAGGGAACGGAAAAGUAAGAACGUGGUUCCACGUGUUUUACCUUAUCCUUUCUUUUUUCUUUUGUCCAAUUGUCGAAAAUUUUUUUAUUUUUUUUGGGUACUUCAUAUAUCAAUCUUGGUAUUAGUUUUUUUUUAAUUAUUAGCUAUGUGAUGUUAAAAUAUACUCUUUUUUUUUUCGUCAGCUUUUUUUAUUAAUAUUUAUUAAUUAUAAAUAUAUAUAAAAAAAUUUUAGAUAACAAUCCAUUUAGAUUUACCGGAAUAUUCCUUUAAUAUUUUCUUAGUUUAACUUUAUCACUGAUUUAAACAAAAAAAAAAUCUGACGACAGAAAAAAAAUAAAUAUCAUAGAAUAUUAAAUUAAUAUAUUUAAACGCAUAUAAUACUAAAAUGAAAAAGUACUAAACACAUAUUGGUAUUUAAAGUUUAUUUAUUUUUUAAAUAACCAACAGUACUAAUGCCGGUUUUGUUCAUUAUAAGAAAUAAUACUUGAGGUAAAAAGAAAAAUAAAAAAAAUAACAGCAAUAAAGAUACAAAUCAAUCAUUUGGAAUCAUCACCAAUGUAAUUUGCCCUAGUUUUUGAGAGGAUAUAUAAACCAUAUUGGCUCUUACAGUUUAUCAGGAUGAGAAUAGUUUUUUUUAUAAUUAUUGUAUGUAGUGCUGUGUGUGUUUACAAUAUUGUGCAGCAUAUUAAAAUAAGGGAUAAAUAAGAUAGAUGUAGAUUUUUUUUAAAAUAAUAUAAUCUUUAACAUCUUUGGCAUGGGACUGGUAUGUAUAUCAAAAAUAAAAAAUACAUUGCAACGUUGUUAUAAAACUAUAAUAUUGUACUCAGUUAAACGCGAAUCGAUAUUUUGUUAUCAAUAAAUUUGCACUAAGUUAAAUAGAAUCGAAUCAUCAUAAUCUGACUUGAUUCCGACGAUUAUUAUAUUAUCUAAUUAGACUAAACUUAAUUUAUUUUCAAUUAAAAAAUUAAUUAGAGAUAUAUUCGGCCCUAAUAUUUCACUUACCUUCUAUAAAUUAAAUUUAAAAUUGANNNNNNNNNNNNNNNNNNNNNNNNNAAACACGUGGUCUCCAACGGCAAACUCUAUAUCUUUCCUCCGUUUGUCGGCAUAACUCUUUUGCCGAGAUUGCGCCGUAGCAAGUCGUUGGCGAGCAAGACGAACUUUCUCCUCCGCCUCCCGUACUACAUCGGGGCCAAGACCCGCCCUCUCGCCCACAUCGCUCUAAUGAAUUGGGGAGUGACACUUCUUUCCAUAAAGAGCCUCGAAUGGCACCAUCGCGAUACUUUCUUGAUAACUGUUAUUGUACGCGAACUCUGCCAUCGGUAGAUGAUCAUGCCAAUUGCCCUUAUAAUCCAGUACACACGCUCGAAGCAUAUCCUCAAGUAUUUGUAUCGUCCUCUCCGAUUGACCAUCACUUUGAGGAUGAAAUGCCGUGCUAAAGUCGAGCCGCGUGUCCAAAGCCUCCUGUAGGCUCCUCCAAAAGUGAGAGGUGAACCUCGGGUCCCGAUCAGACACGAUAGACACGGGCAUCCCAUGAAAUCUCACAAUCUCGUCGAUAUAUACUUGAGCCAAUUUGUCCCCCGACCAUGUAAUAUGAAUCGGUAGGAAAUGCGCCGACUUCGUCAACCGGUCCACUAUAACCGAAAUUGCAUCGUGCCCACCUUGAGAUCGUGGCAAUCCGGUCACAAAGUCCAUAGCGAUAUUCUCUCAUUUCCAAACGGGUAUAGGUAAGCUUUGUAAUUUUCCCGCCGAAAAAUGCUGCUCCGCUUUUACUUGUUGGCAAGUAAGGCAUUGCACCACAAACUCCCCAAUGUCUUUCUUCAUGCCCGGCCACAAAUAGUGCAACUUCACAUCUUGAUACAUUUUGGUGCCGCCCGGGUGUAUACUAUAAAGGGAUUGGUGCGCUUCUUGCAUGAUCGCCCUGCGGAUGUCCUUAUUCUUAGGCAUACACCAACGGUUUCUAAACCGGAGUGCGCCGUCGGUCCCAAUGCCAAAAUCAUCGGCAGUACCGCUCUCAACUUUCCCGUGCACCUUUUGGAGAUAUUCAUCGAAAGCUUGCAACUCUUUAAUCUUCUCCAAUAGUGUCGGUUGAACAACCAACGCCGCAAGUGUCGCCGGCACUCCCGGCGCUACUACUUCCAAUCNAGAGAGAAAGAGAGAGAGAGAGAGGGUGGAUUGCCAGAGGAAAAGAGAGAGAGUGGGUUCACGUGUAGAGAGAGGAGAGAGAGGAACGGCGCUAUUUGCCGUUCCGUCUAGUUCACCCUUUUACUGCGCGCGGAUCUCGAGGCGAAGCGAUCCAACGGUGCAAAAAUGCCAAGCACAAGAGCUCCUGUGCUUUUAAAAGCACAGGAGCUCUACUCAUAUAUAUAUAGAGUCCGGCUGGGAUACUAUCGAUAGUACCAAGGGCUUAGUGCUAUCGAAUUUUCCACCGUUAGAUUUAACCAUUUCAUUAUUUUUACCCGUUAGAUUAUACUAUUCAACCAAUCACCCACUCAACCCUAGGGGGCCCAUAUUAUCCUAACCGCACAUUUCUCAAUUCAAGGGCUAAAAAACAAAUAGUACAAAUAGCUUUGUGCUAUUGAUAGUAUUCCAGUCUAGUUCUAUAUAUAUAUAUAUAUGUGUGUGUGUGUGUGUUAAAACAUUUUUCUAUUAUUUCAUAAGGACUUUUUUAUUUUCUUUCCAGUGCAAUUUUUCUGUGUUUAUAUUUAUUUUCUUCUCUUUUGAGACAAUCAUCUUUGCGUUGUACUAUUAUGUUCAUUUUUGAAAGAGUUUUUAAUAUUUGUACAAAUGUUUUUGUUCACGUUAUUAUGAAAGAUUUUUUAUUUUUUAUUUUUUUAUCUAUCUUCGAAGGAUUUUUAAGAUUGUUCAAAUUUUUUUUAAUAUUUUUGAAGGAUUUUUGAAAGAUUUAAUUUUUUUUUAUUUUUAGUGUUGUGUUUAAUAUUUUUGGAAGGUUUUUGAAAAAUUUUAAAUUUUGCAAAUAGAGCGCUAAUCUUUCGCAUCUAUAGAAUUACUAUAUUGUUCGAAUUUAAAGUGCAAAUCUUUUCAAAUCUAUAGGAUAUUUUAUUUCUUUCGGAGUGCUAUUUUUUAUUUUCUAUUUAUUUUUAUUUUCCUUUCUUUUGACCCAAUCAUCUUAUGUUGUAUUAUUAUGUAAAUUUCUGACGAAUCUUUUAUGUUGUUUGGAUUUUACUUGUUUACAUUAUUUUGGAAUAAAACUUCUUUUUUUAUAUGUUUCUUUUCGAAGAAUUUUUAAUAUUGUUUAGACUUUUAUAUAUUUUUGAAGGAUUUUUUAAAAAAAUUAAUACUUCCUCAAGGCUGAGACAUGAAACACAUCAUGUAAUAGAUUAUGUUCUACUGGAGGUGACUGAGGAGAUGAGCUUACUGAGCAACUGGUUCGAAUUCUUGCACGAAAGGUAAAAAAAUUGCGAAACCGAGUUAUUGCUUAUGUGAAGGUAUUAUGGAGUUAUCAGGCGGAGUGAGAGGCGACAUGAGAAUCUAAGCAUGCGAUGCGAGAAUCUUCCCUACUUAUUUGAGCAGCUAACGUGAUAUACAUUUUAAGUUUCAAGGACUAAACUUUUAAAGGAGGAGAAAUAUAAUGAAUCUUAGCAAAUAGACAAGGUUGAAGUGUCAUUUUUUUUAGUCAGUAUUUUUCUACAUUAAUGGAUUAAGCUUGCUCGGCUCAUUAUGAGUUCGAGCCGAACUUUACUUAAAGCUCGGAAAAUAAAACAAGUUCGAGCCGAGUAAAUUAAAGCUCAGUUCGAGCUCGCUCGGCUUAUAGCUCGGCUUGUGCUCAGCUUGCGCUCGGCCGAGCGAGCAAACGGUCGGGAUAAAGGCUGAGAGAGAGAGAGAGAGAGAGAGAGUUAGUUCUACUGUUUGCUCUUCCCUAUACCUACCUCGGGUGCACCUGACGAACGGAAUUUCUAUCGUUUUUUACGUUUUUUCGGGGAGUUUUGAUACAUAAAGUUGAAAUUAGGAAAUGUUAAUUUAGAACUCAAAAUUUCUAAUAAAAACACAGAUAAAGCUCGGUUUUGCAGAGGUUGAGUUAGUUCGNCUUCCUCGGUCCGAGAAUAUACCAAUACGUCGUCAAUGAAUACCACGACGCACCGGUCCAAUAGCGGACGGAAGACUCUAUUCAUUAAGUCCAUGAACGCCGCCGGGGCGUUAGUAAGCCCAAACGGCAUCACCGUGAACUUAUAAUGGCCAUACCGUGUACGGUACGCCGUCUUGUGCACAUCCUCGGGCCGUAUCUUCAACUGAUGAUACCUCGAUUGAAGAUCAAUCUUUGAAUAUACCCUUGACCCCUGCAACUGAUCAAAUAAGUCAUCGAUCCUCGGCAACGGGUACUUAUUCUUCACUGUGACCUUGUUCAACUCGCGGUAAUCCACGCAGAGUCGAAGUGUGCCGUCCUUCUUCUUAACGAAUAGCAUCGGAGUUUCCCAGGGUGACGCACUCGGCCUCACAAAGCCUUUGUCGAGCAAGUCUUGCAACUGUGCCUUGAGCUCCUUUAGCUCCGCCGGUGCCAUUCUAUACGGAGCCUUCGAAAUUGGAGCCGCCCCGGGUACCAAGUCGAUAACGAACUCGACCUCCCGGUCCGGUGGCAAACCCGGUAACUCCGCCGGAAACACAUCCGGAAGCUCACACGCCACCCGAAUACUACUAAGUUCCGGGUGCUCCUUCUGGGCUUCUACCAUGGUCGCCAAAUAGGCCUCACAACCACCCUUUAUCAUUUUCCUCGCCUGUGCCGCCGACACGGUCGCCGCGAAAAGCGAGCUUUUUGCUGCCUGAUACACUAGCUCCUCUCGAUUAGGCUCAUGAAACGUGAUCACCUUACUUUCACAAUCUAUCACGGCAUAAUACUUGGAGAGCCAGUUGGUCCCCAAGAUCACGUGAAAACCCCACAUUCGGUUUAACACCAACAGAUCAAUCGGCAUGACCGAAUCACCUAUCUGCACUGGGCACGCUACACAUUCUUCAUGAACAUGGAAAGUAUGCCUGACCGAAUUUACCGUCCAGUAGUCAUAAUGAUGCAUGAUCUUAAUGCCAUGAGUCCUAGCGAAUGAUGCAUUAAUGAAUGAAUGCGAUGCACCUGUGUCGAGUAAAGCUCUAGCUCUGGUGCCUCUGAUCAAGAUAAUACCUGCCACGAUGUCGUCGGGGACAGGAAUUGGCUCCUCCUGCACCUGAGUGGCAAAAACCCGCCCACUCGGUGCCCUCGAUGCCUCCGGCUGACGCGAUGAAGACGAACGCCCAGCCGACAUAGCCGGUGGUAACCCCGCCUGCUGUCUCGGGAUAUAAGGAACUGAUGCCGAGGUAGGCGCAGAUGAACCCCAGCUCGGGCACUCUCGUGACAUGUGCCCGGGCUGGCCGCACCUAAAGCACUUUCCCUCGCGCUGCGAGCAUACCGGCGGCCGAUGAUCACCGCCGCAAAUGACACAACGGAACGGCCUGCCACUCUUCGACUGCUGCCGGGGAUACCGAGGGGGUUUCUUUGUGUUUGACCGGCCCUCGGCACCGCCCGCCGCCCGCUUCUUCCCCUUGUCCCUUGACUCCGCCAUUGCCUCGCGCUCCUCUCGCAUGUGGGCGCUGCUGUGCUUCGCCCACAGGGCUCGAUCAAAGACCUCCGCAAAGGUCGUCAACUUGAGGAUUUUCACCUUCUCGUAAAUCCUCGGUUGGAGUCCUCGUAAGAACCAAUCAGCCCGGUCCGGGUCAUCACGAACAACCUCCGGGACGCAGUCGAUAAGGUGGGAGAACUCCUGCUCGUAAUCUGCCAUAGAGCGGUCCCCCUGUCGCAACUUGCGGAAUUUCUCUUGCAACUUCCGCUUCACCGUAUCGGGGAAGUAGUUGGCGAACACCGCCCUCCAGAACUCCUCCCACAACAUAGGCGGAAGAUCGGGCGAUCGAUCCCGCCUAACACGCUUCCACCACACCUUCGCCGCCUUCUCAAGGCAAUGUGUGGCGAGGUACACCUUGUCCUUCUCCAAGGUGUUAAGAUCCUCAAANAUAAGCUCGCUCGAGCUCGGCUCGUUUCCACCCCUAGUCGGAAAGGCGGUUGCGCGGGAAAAAAAAGAAAAAAGAGAGAGAGAGAGUGAGGCGAGCUUGGUUUCAAGCAGCGAGUCGAGCAUGCGUGAGUGUGUCUUUCGGUGUUUCGAAGUCCGGUUAUUAUCAUAAUAUUUUUAUUAUUAUUAUUUUCAUUUAGACUAUUUUGAUAAAUUUUGUAGAAAUUGAGAGUUCAAAAUUGAUUUCUAUAUGUUUUAAGAACUGAUUUCGCGUGAUUUUGACGAGAGAUUUUUGAGCUACUCUAGGGUGUUGUCAUUGUUGUUCAAGCUAGGAGAGCAGUAGUGGAUCGCCUUGCUAUUCUGAUAACUGUUCCGUUCUAUGAAUUUGCGAUAUACAUGGAUUCCAUAUUGUCAAAAUUGGUGAACUAACUUUUAUAUCCAUAUUAUAUUAUUUAGCUUAUGAGAUGAACUAUUGACAUAGUUGAGAUAAAGUAUUUUGACACCUACUUGUAAAGUAUAUUAAGAUAUGCAUAUUUUUAGGAGUGGCAGAUAGAGUGAGAUUAUAACUGUAUUUGGGAUACUAUAAUAGUAUUGUCAUGAUCUAUUUAAUCAUCGCAUUUGACUAUAGCCUACAUAUUAUUUUGAGCUUGACAGUGAUAUUAUACUCGGUUAGGGUAGCGCUCCGCGAGUGCACUCCGGAGGUUAGGUUAUGAGAUAUUAUUAUGGUAUGGACUAGAUAGUAGCUUGCGUGAUAGUGGACCACUAUAGGUGGAUGCUGGACACGAGGUGAUGUAGGCUAGACCUAACUGUUAAGUCAGACACUAUAAUUGGGUAUUUUUGCAUUAUUUUUUUCAGUAUCUAAUCAAUUGAUUAAUGAAAUAUAUAAUUCAUAGUUUUUAGUUAUAUUGUAGAGACAUGAUAGUAGUAUUUGCUUUUAGCAAUUAUUUAUAUCAGUCCCUUCUUUUUUCUACUGCUUAGUUAUUUACUAUUUCUACCUCUUAUGAACCUAGUGGUGUAGACCAUCGGCAAUGUCGACCAUACCCACUAAGGACUAUGGAUUAUAGUUCUCAUAUCUUUCUUAUUAAUAUUUUAUUUCAGAGCCUUCAGCACCAGUGACUGAUCGACAUAAGGAAAUUACGGAUAGUUAGCAUCUUUUACCCAGUUUGUGCGUGUAGCUGGACAAUCUAACAGUGUAUAUAGCAGUUUGUACAGUAUUUUAAGGUUAAAUUUAUUAGAGAUGUUGUACCAUUUUGAGAACUUGUAUGGUGAUAAUUGUAUAUUUAUAGUGUUGCUAUAGUACAUAUUUUUUAUUUUACUUUGAUACCUACUGUUGUUAGAAUUUAGUUAAUUAUUUUUGGACAAUCUCUGUUGACGCUUCAUAUAUAUAAGAUGUAUCCUUAUGCAUGCAGCAGAUUUGUUGAUGUAAUUCAGGCUUUCGCUGUAAUCCGGGACGUAACAAAUUAUAUGUUUAUUUUUGAAGAAUUUUUAAUAUUGUUUGGAAUUUUACAUAUUUUUGAAGGAUUUUAAAAAAUUUCUAAUUUAUGUUUCUUUUGAAUAUUGUGUUUAAUAUUUUUGAAAGGUUUAUAAAAACAAGUAUUUUGAAUUUGGGUUUGUGGACAAACCCCUUUUUUAGCAGGAAAAGAAUAUGGCCAAUUUGCAUAAAAAAUUCACUAGUUUUGUGCUUUUACAAAAGUAGGUCACCUAUUUUGAUUUUGCAGAUUCGGGCCGGAUUUUCAGCCGCUUGACCAAAAUGCCCUUCGUCUAUAUUCGCGUCUCGUGUAUUCCCUGAGAUACGUAUACUCUAACGUACGGUCCUAGCGGACAUUAAAUACGCCCCUUGCGCUUUUCGCAACGUCACUCUCAUCGAAACCCGAACCAAAUCAGCCCCGCUAUUCGCCAGCCCCGGUAUUUGCUGUUCAGCUUUAAGAAAUUAAAUAGUUGACAAGCUACAUGGCAAGAAAUACGCUGCCGGCAACAGGAAUAAUAGUGCAACGCUAAGAAGCAACGCGAAGAAAAAUGGUGGAACAACACUUCUAACAGUGCACCUUUCGGCAGGUACCAAUGCGACGUUGGCGUUCAAUCUUCUCCCUCACCAGGGCAACAUCCCACUCCCUUGGAAGGCAGUCAAGCAGUCUUCUUCCUAAACUGUAAGAAGCAUAGGGGAGUUUAUUCCAGCACUCGUUUGCAGAGGAGAAGUGGAAGAAGCGUGGUCGAGGGACAUGGCUUUAGGGUUUGGAAGUGGAGAAGAGAUGAAGGAGGAGGGGGUUCCGCAAAGGUAGUAGUGCAAAAAAAAAGGCUCUAUGUGGUGUAACAUAUUCCUAAGUAGUGCAAUGGUUUUAAGAAAAUGGUGCAACGAGUCUAUAACCAGAGAAAAAAAUUCUUAAAUUAGGUGUAAUAUUAACAUUAAUGGUGCAAUAUUUGGCAAACAUUAAUACUGCAACAAGUCCUUAUGUCACACCCCGAACCCGAUCCUAUUUGGCCGGUUCGAGCGCGUCAAACAGACGCCGAACGGACAAAGUCUCCCCUGUCCGCCCAAGGCUCAACAUCCUAUACAAAUAGAGUAUGNUAGUCCCUAACCACAUUAGAGACAUAUUACAUUAACCCAAUCAUAAGCUUUCGCUAUACAUUGUUCAACGUCACUCACGUUUCCUAGGUCCUUAAGGUCUUUCCAUUCCUAAGGGUCUCUAGGUCCAUCCUAUACUUUCACCUUUUGGCUCUUUACGCUCUGAUACCAUCUUAUCUGUCACGCCCCGAACCCGAUCCUAUUUGGCCGGUUCGAGCGAAUCAAACAGACGCCGAAAGAACAAAAUCUCCCCUGUCCGCCCAAGGCUCAACAUCCUGUACAAAUAGAGUAUGAAUUUUGCACCAAACGGAAGCAUACAUAAUGGCUUGCACGAGGGCAAGCAAUAGCCAAUAGUGAAAGAAUCUACUAAACAUCAUACAGGUAUUUGAUUAAAUUUAAAUCACAUACAUGCAUCCAACUAUAAUCAAGUUCUUUCACAUUUUUGCAUCAUUUCUUGUUACAUCUCAUUUCUUCCAAAGUAUAACUUUUGACAUUUAAAAUAAAUAUCCUUUACAUUAUUCAUUAGAGCAAGUUCAUGAUACUAAAAUCAUCAAAUACAAAAGAUGAUAGUAAGGGUAUGCGACUACAAAAUGAUAACCAUCUCGGGCGGUCUCUACCUAGGGCGCGAUGCCCUUACCGCGAUCAUCAGCCGGCUCGCUUGGUCCCGGCUCUGUGGAAAUAGUGGGGUGAGAACUACAACAAAGUUUCCAGUGGAUUCGGCAACCAACCACGCCGACUAUCCCACUAGAUCUAAUCAGGCAUAAUAGAAGAAAGAAUAGAUAAUAACCAACUAACAAAUGCAGAUAAUAUGCCUGAACGAUAAGUAAAACUAUGCUCGAUAGAAUGCAUAUGAUGAAUGCAAAAUUAACUUUUCAUUACCCAAUCUCAUGGCUAGCCCGUAGGUUUCGCCCUCACAAACUCACCAACCCAAAUUCCUAUUGUCGGGGAGAUAACCGCUACGACCCGACGGGACCGCCCUCUGGGGAGAUAACCGCUACGACCCAGUGAUGACAACUCCGGAGCACAUCGCCCGAGGGGGAGCUACCGCCCUCGAGCAAGGACUAUUAGGUGAGUACGAUCAAUCCUUAACUUUAAGGAUUCCAAAUUCAAUCCAUUCCUUGACUUCAAGGAGAACCAUGUUCAUAUGACCCUUUAACUCUAAGAUGUAUAUGUCAUAUUGUCUCUAACCCAAUUUACUUGCAUCCUCUAACCUCAACUAGUGUCAUGUACACUACUUAUUCUUGUUCCUGGUCAUUGACGCCACAAUUAUUUUCUAAGUGCUAUAUUCUUGUACUCAUGCCACACUCUAUGUCUAUGUCAACAUGUCACAUUUGUUUACUAACCCUUCUAGGUUCUUGUCCCUUGUUAUGCAUAUAUAUAGGGUUAACAAUUCUCAUUCAUUUACCAUAAUUUCUCAAGCAUUAAAACUCAUAUCAUGCAAUGGAAGCUCUCAAUUAACCCUACUAUGCAACAUGCUCAAUAUAAAUACAUAUGCUCAAAUAUGACACUUUAAAUAUAAAGAGAUUUCCGAUGUCCUUGGAAUGCACCACCCACCUUAGAUGGUUACCAGGAUGCUAUGGUGAAUUUCUUGGAAUUUUUGAAACCCUAGUUCGCGUGCUGCGGCUAUCUGUACGGAAAAUGACGUUUUUGUCAAUAACUUUGCGUACACUCAUCAGAUUGCCGAACCGAGCGUUCCAACGCGUUUAAAAUACCCUCAAUUAGGUUUCUACAUGAUCAAAAUAGAUCAAAACCCAACUUGGGCAAAACCCCUCUUUGGGAUGCCCUGACAUGUCAUUUUUGUAUUUUUCCUAGAUUGAUCUUGUCGCUAAGCAAAGAAUAGCUUAGAAUCACUUGGGAAGCUCUCUAAUAAGGUUUCUAAGCUUUUAGAAUCAUCCCUAGGGCAUCUACUUUGAGCCCUAGUGAUCCACCAUGAGAGCUCCUCAAGAAAGCCAUGCUUUCAUGGUGUUCUUGGCUCUAGGAGGUUUCUAAAGGAUAAAACAAGCUCAAAACUCCUAAACAUAGGGCUAAAACCCAAACCCUAGACUCAACUUGCAAAGAGACUCACCUUUGCCCAAGCCCUAGCAAGCUCCUUCUUGUUGGAGAGCCACAAGAUCCUCUCAAGCCUCCAAAACCACCUCUUCAAGCUUCUUGUCCACCUUCUCCACCAAACCCUAGAGUUAUAGAGAGAGAAAAGAGAGGGAAAAUGAGAGAGGGGGAUGUGGGUGGCUGUGGGAGGGAGAGAGAGAGGUGUUGGGUUGUUAACAUGUUGCUACAAUUGCAACUAGGCCCUCCAACUCUCUAUUCUGCAGCAGAUUCAUCCCUGCUGCCAAAACUGCUGUGUACCGGUACGCGGGUUUGUGUACCGGUACGGACCUGCGCAGAGGCCCAAACCCGAGAGCAAACUCUCUCGGUUUCGCAGGGUGUGUACCGGUACACGGGGUCCCGUACCGGUACACCACCCAGGCUGCCCAAACCCAAGAGCAGCCUGUGCUCGGGUCGCUUGCUGUACCGGUACAACCACCAUGGUAUACCGGUAUACAAUGCUCCAGAAUGCUGUUUUGGUUUCGACCCGACUCUACUUCGCAUCGUUCGAUGCCAAAACCAUUCCAACACUUCUUUAACUCAUUUUUGCCCUUCCAAACUUGUUGGAAUGCAAAAAAAAUGAAACUCACCAAUUCAUUUCUCUCGACACUUUAACCAAUUUGAUUAAAGUUCGAUUAUCGUUUUUCGGGUUUCGAUAUGUUACAUUCUCCACCCCUUAUAUUUAGUUUCGUCCGUGAAACUAGUUUAAUUUAAGCCCGAACUCGACUCGUACCUUAGUUCAGCUCGUCGAAGAGAUGAGGGUAAUGCUCCCGCAUUGCGCUCUCGAGCCCCCAAGUAGCUUCCCGGUCGUCGUGGUUACACCAACGAAUCUUUACGUACGGAAUCUUACGAUUUCGUAGUUUUCUUACUUCUCGAUCGAUGAUGUACGCCGGAAACUCCUUAUAGGUCAUGUCCUCUUGAAUCUUGGACGGUUCAAACGAGAGAACAUGAUCGGGGUCGUGAACAUACUUGCGGAGAUUCGACACGUGGAACACAUCGUGCACUCCUGCAAGUCUUGGUGGUAAUGCUACUCGGUAUGCCACCGCGCCGACCCGUUCCAGUAUUUCGAACGGUCCAAGGUACCGGGGACUUAGCUUCCCACGGAUUCCAAACAGCUUAAUCCCUCUCAUCGGCGAAAUCAUUAGAAACACGUGGUCUCCAACGGCAAACUCUAUAUCUUUCCUCCGUUUGUCGGCAUAACUCUUUUGCCGAGAUUGCGCCGUAGCAAGUCGUUGGCGAGCAAGACGAACUUUCUCCUCCGCCUCCCGUACUACAUCGGGGCCAAGACCCGCCCUCUCGCCCACAUCGCUCUAAUGAAUUGGGGAGUGACACUUCUUUCCAUAAAGAGCCUCGAAUGGCACCAUCGCGAUACUUUCUUGAUAACUGUUAUUGUACGCGAACUCUGCNAUUCUUUGCUAAAUAGUGUAACAAGUUCGUAAAUAGUCCAAAUUUUUCUCAACAUUUGGUACAUCUAGCAUUUUUGGUAGAAAAUAGAAACCAAAGAAUAAGAAGAUUAAUGAAUGAAAUAGACAAUGCACUCUCUAUUAAUCUGGGAGCAAGGAUUACAUUUUCUUUGAUGCAAAUUACACGAUUUUAUAGUACUUUGUAAUAUACAAGACAGGAUUUGCAUACAAUAUACCAUUUUCUCUAAACAAUUAAGAAAACAAUAAAGAUCAUUUGACCUUUUUUUGCGCUUCCAUGCACAGGGCGAUGCUAUUUUUUGUCAAGGAGGUGAAGGCGACGAAGGGCGUUCCCUCUAAACACAGCCGAUGCGGCCGUGGGGGAUGUGGCUCGUGCCUUCCUCGUCCUUAAUUGCUAUGGCGGCGGCGGCGGCGGCGGCGUCCGCAGCUCUUCCUCAUCGCGUUUGUUUCAGUGGUCCAGCCAGUGAUUACGGGGGGCAAAAAUUAAAGUCGUCGUGGUUGGUAGCGGUGGUCAUGCCGACGACGGCCGCGGCAGAAGGGGACUGAGGCGAAAGAGUGGUCGAGGAGAAGGAUGAUGUUGGAAAGUAUAGGACCAAGCAGAUCGACAUUAAGAUCGACUCGCACUACCUGAAGCGCUUCAGCUACUCCGAGCCCUUUGGAUCUCCGCUCUUCUAUGGUCGGAAAUAAGCUCACCGUUUAGUAAAAAAAUAUAAAUAAAUGAGAAAAUAAAAAAAAAAAACUGAAUAAAUGUUCGAACCUUUAAGAGAAGAGAGCUAAUGGGCUCGCGGCAAUUGAAGCACUCCAGAAAGUGGUGGUCAAUCUAAACCCCGACGUGCUAGAUACCCUUCACAAUAGUUGCCUCCUCGUCAACGACUGACUCGGUUCUCGCCCUUUCCACCACCGCCGCCAUGGGGACUACCCCCGCCGCCGGCAGCCAUGACGGCUUUAAUUUCCUCCUCCGGAACAACCACCUGCGGUGCCAAAACAAAUCUGAAGACANCCCGCUGGCGCUGCCGCAGCCACCACAGACAAGGAAAACGCUAGCCACAUCCCCCACAGCCGCAUCGGCUGUGUUUAGGGGGAACGCCCUUCGUCGCCAUCACCUCCUUGAUGAAAGGUAGUGUUGCCUUAACCUCCUUUUAUACUUGUUGGAUGUAAAAAAAAAAAAAAUACUUAUACUAUAUAUACAGGAAAAACAAUCCUAAUCAUAAUCAAAACCGGUUAGAUUCGGGCUCAUACAAUCCUAAUAGAUCUCAUGUUAACCAUGAAAUUUAAGGGCCAAUAGUUAUAAUUUAAAUCCACAAUAGACCCAUUAAUGAAUGUGAGUUGGUGGGCCUUAUGAAAGCCCGUUAAAAUUUUAAGCCUAUGGAAUAAUUCGGGCCUUAUGAAUAUUAUUAUUUGUGCCAAACAAUUUUCAUCAAAGUGGGAAUCAAUGACGGUCCAUAUCCACAUCCUAAAAUUCAAUAUCCAAUUAGAAAAUAUCUUUCAUCCAAACAAGCUCAUUCAAAUUUCAAAUCCCAACCAACUCUCAAAAUAUCUCCAAUUCAAAUCCCCAACCAAUUCCCAAAAUAUCUCCCAACCAACCAACCAACUCCCAAAAUAUCUUCCAACCAACCACAACCAACUCCCAAAAUAUCUCCCGUUCAAAUUCCGAACCAACUCCCAAAAUAUCUCCCAACUAACCAACCAACUCCCAAAAUAUCACCCAACCAACCACAUCUAUUCAAAUUUCGAAUAUUUAUCCCUCCAACUACUGAUUCAAAAUUCGAUUUCGAAUUUCGAAUCCCUAACCGACUCAAAAUAUCUCUCGCCUAACCCACAAAUCUCUCCGACUCCUCAAAUCUCCCCUUUUAUUAUAAAUGUGAGAAUAAAAAAAGAGGAAGGGAUACACACAGAAGAGAGGAUAAAUAGAUAGAGAGAGACGAUAGCGAUACGGAGAGAGACGACGAUACAAAGAGGAGAGAUAAUAACAUUUCCACUCCUUGCUACACGCAUACAAAAAAUUCAAAGGAGGAGAAUUUUUCGACCGCACCGCCGUGCCGCUUCAUCCAGCCCGUCAUUUGAUCAUCAGGUAAAGAUAAAAAAAAAGAAGAAAGAAAUAAAGAAAGAAAAUAAUAAUAAUAAUAAAGCAUAUCAAAAAAAUAAAAAAAAAUGAUCUCUUUUCCUUCCUCCCUUUUCUUUUUUUUUAGAUCCUGCUACCGUAGUCAUCCAUACCAUCUAAACGGCUUCGAUGGGAGAGUGGAGGGAAGCCAAUGGCUUUCUGUUUCUUCGGACCUCUCGAUACCUCAUUCGAAGCCGUUAAUUGAUGAAAUGGAUGAUCUACAUUGCUGCGACCAUCUCCAGCAUCGUCGGUUCGGUAUUUUCGAAAGAAGAGGGGAGGGGAAUUAAAGAUUCCCCGUUCUUCGGACCCUUCAAUCUCUUUUGAAAAUAUCGAACCAAAUUUGCCGGCCGAACAAAUCCGCACCACCGUCAUCAUCUUCACCGCUGUCAUCUCCAGUAUCGCCGGUUCAGUAUUUUCGAAAGAAGAGGGGAGGGGAAUCAAAGAUUCCCCGUUUCUUCGGACCCUUCAAUCUUUUUUAAAAAUAUCGAACCGAAUUCGCCGGCCGAACAGAUCCGCACCACCAAUCAUCUUCACCGCCGUCAUCUCCAGUAUCGCCGGUUAGGUAUUUUCAAAAGAAGAGGGGAGGUGAAUCAAAGAUUCUCUGUUUCUUCGGACCCCAAACCAAAUCGAACUGCAAAAUCAAAAGGGGAUUUCGUCGAAUCCCAAAUCUAAUUGCAAAAUCAAAAGGGGAUUUCUUCGAACCCCAAAUCGAAUUGCAAAAUCAAAAGGGGAUUUCAUUAGACCCCAAAUCGAAAUCAAAAUGGGAAUUUCCUUGGACCCCAAAUCAGAAUCAAAACGGGGAUUUCUUCGGACCCCAAAUCAGAGUCAAAAUGGGGAUUUCUUCAGACCCCAAAUCAGAAUCAAAACGGGGAUUUCUUCGGACCCCAAAUCAAAGUCAAAAUGGGGAUUUCUUCAGACCCCAAAUCAGAAUCAAAACGGGGAUUUCUUCGGACCCCAAAUCAAAAUCACAAGAAAUCAAAACGGGGAUUUCUUAAGACCCCAAAUCAGAAUCAAAAUGAGGAUUUCUUAGGACCCGAAAUCAGAAUCAAACUGGAGAUUUCUUCGGACCCCAAAUCCAAAUUGCGAAAAGGAGAUUUUUUCCGACCCCAAAUCAAAAUUGAAAUAAAUUAAAAGGGGAUUUCUUUGGAACCCAAAUCGAAAUUGCAAAAUUAAAAAGGAAAUUUCUUCGGACCCCAAAAUCGAAUUGCAAUAAAAUUCGAAAGGAAAAUUCCUCCGGACCUCAAAAUCAAUUUGCAGUGAAUCUCAAAAAGGAACUUCUUCAGAUCACAAAUUCAAAUUUGGAUAAGUCUAAAGAAGCCUUCUUCGGACCUUAAUUCUAAACAAAAAUAAAUACAGCCAAACCCACAAAUAAAAAACCCAAACCUAACCCCAAACCCAAAUCAAAUCCAGUCCACAAAUAAAAACCCAAACCUAAGCCCAUAAAUCCCAAACUCAAAUCCAAUCCGGAUCACAAAUAGAACCCAUACCAGACUUUCAACUUGGAUUCAUGAACCAAGUUCAUGAACCAAAUCCCAUAAACCAUGAACCAAGUUCGCAAACAAAACACCACGAACCAUACCCAAGUUCAUGAACCAAAUUCCAUAAACCAUGAACCAAGUUCAUGAAGCCAAAACAAGUUUGUGAACCAAACACCACGAACCAUACCCAAAUCCCAUAAACCGUGAACCAAGUUCAUUAAGCUUACCCAAGUUCGUGAACCAAACACCACGAACCAUACCCAAAUCCCAUAAACCAUGAACCAAGUUCAUACACCGAGUUCAUGAACCACAAACCAAGUUCAUGAACCAAAUGAACCAAGCUCAUGAACCAUGAACCAAGUCCAUAAACCAAGUUCAUAUACCAUGGACCAUAUCCAAGUUCAUGGACCAAAUCCUAUACACCAAACCCUAUGAACCAUACAUCAAGUUCAUGAACUAUAUAAACCAAGUCCAUAAACCAAGUUUAUAUACCAAAUCCAUGAACCAUUUCUAAGUUCAUGAACCAAAUCCCACAUGUCUAACCUCAUGAAACAUAAACCAAGUUCAUGAACCAAAUGAAUCAUGUUCAUGAACCAUGAACCAAGUCCAAAAACCAAGUUCAUGAACCAAAUGAACCAAGCUCAUGAACCAUAAACCAAGUUCAUGAACCAAAUGAACCAAGCUCAUGAACCAUGAACCAAGUCCAUAAACCAAGCUCAUACAUCAAAUCCAUGAAUCAUAUCCUAGUUUAUGAACCAAAUCUCAUGAGUCAUACACCAAACCCCAAUGAACCAUAUACCAAAUCUUAUGAACCAUACACCAAGUUCAUGAACCGUAAAUGUAACAUAUCGAAACUCGAAAAUGAUAAUCGAACUUUAAUCAAAUCGGUUAAAGUGUCGAGAGAAAUGGAUUGGUGAGUGAUUUUUGCAUUCCAGCAUGUUUGGAAGGGCAAAAAUGGGUUAAAGAAGUGUUGGAAUGGUUUUGGCAUCGAACGACGCGAAGUAGAGUCGAGUCGAAGCCAAAACAGCAUUCUGGAGCAUUGCGUACCGGUACACCAUGGUAGUUGUACCGGUACAGCAAGCGACCGGAGCACAGGCUGCUCUCGGGUUUGGGCAGCCUGGGUGGUGUACCGGUACGGGACCCUGUGUACCGGUACACACCCUGCGAAACCGAGAGAGUUUGCUCUCAGGUUUGCUUCUGCGCAGGUCGUGUACCGGUGAUACCAACCCGUGCACCGGUACGCGAAACCUCUGGCAGCAGGGAUAAGUCUGCUGCAGAAUAGAAAGUUGAAGGGCCUAAAUGCAAUUAUCACAAUAUGUUAUUUGACCCUAGCCCUCUCUUCACAGCAGCACACACCCCUCCUCUCUUUCCCUCUCAUUUUCUUCCCUUUCUCUCUCUAGAAAGCUUGGUCUAGGGCAAGGAGAAAGUGGAGAAGAAGCUUGGAGAGGAGAUUUUGGUGGGUUUGAAGGCUUUGGUGGCUCUCCAACAAGGUGGACCUUGGUGAGCUCGUGGACAAGGUGAGUUUAUUGCAUAAGAGAGCCUAGGGUUUGGUUUUAAACCUUGGGAUUUAGAGUUUUGAUCCUCUAAUUAACCUAGAAAUCCUCUAGACCAUGACUCCAUGAAAAACAUGGUUUUCUUGAAGAGCUCUCAUGGUGGAUCACUAGGGCUCAAAGUAGAUGCCCUAGAGAUGGUUCUAAAAGCUUAGAAACCUUAUUAGAGAGCUUCCCAAGUGAAUCUAAGCUAUCUUUUUCUUAGGAAUGAGAUCAAUCUCGGAGAAAUGCAAAAAUGACAUGUUAGGGCAUCCCAAAGAGGGGUUUUGCCCAAGUUAGGUUUUGAUCUAUUUUGACCAUGUAGAAACCUAAUUGAGGGUAUUUUAAACGCGUUGGAAUGCUCGGUUCGGCAAUCUGACGAGUGUACGCAAAGUUAUUGACAAAAACGUCAUUUUCCGUACAGAUAGCCGCAGCACGCGGACUAGGGCUUCAAAAAUUUCAAGAAAUUCACCGUAGCAUCCUUGCAACCAUCUAAGGUGGGUGGUGCAUUCCAAAGACAUCGAAAAUCUCUUUAUGUCUAAGUGUCAUUUUUUGAGCAUAUGUGCAUUUUUGAGCAUCUUGCAUAAUAGGGUUAGUUGUGAGAUUUUUAUAACCUAAUGUAAAUUCAAAUGCAUGUUAAAUGUUUGUAAGAAUGUGAGAAUGAUGAUCCCUAUGUAUGCAUAAAUGUGACAAGAACCUAGAAGGGUUAGUAAACGAAAAGUGACACUUUGACAUAGAUCUAGCAAGUAACAUCGACGAGUCUAGAACCCUUAAUAAACAAGUGUGGCAUUUGGCAUGAGAACAAGAAUCUAGCACUUAAAGAACAAGUGUGGCAUGAGUACAAGAACUUGAUAGUGUAUAUGACAUUAGUGAUAGUAACGAAUGCAAAGGAAAGAAUGAUUGAUAUAAUAUGACAUUUCAACCUUAGUGUAAGGGUCAUUUGAGCAUGGUCUUCCUUAAAGUUAAGGAAUGGAUUGAACUUAGAAUCCUCAAAUGUAGAAUUGAUCGUACUCACUUUUAGUCCUUGCUCGAGGUUGUGGUAGCUUCCCCUCGGGCGAUGUGCUCCGGAGUCGACAUCACUGGGUUGUAGCGAGUAUCUCCCCAGAGGACGGUCCCAUCGGGUUGUAGCGAGUAUCUCCCCGAUUAUUGGGAUUUUGAGUUUGUGAGUUUGUUGAGGGCGAAACCUACGGGUUAGCCAAGAGAUUGGGUAUUGGCACUAUGACCUUGCAUUCAUCAUGAGCAUUACAUUGUGCAUAUCAUUUUAUAUUGUUCAGGCAUAUUAGCUGCAUUAGCUAGCUGGUUACUUACUUUCUUUUAUUCUAUUAUGCCUGAUUAGACCUAGUAGGAUAGUCGGCGUGGUUGGUUGCCGAACCCACUGGGAACUUUGUUGUAGUUCUCACACCCCUAUUUCCACAGAGCCGAGACCCAGCGAGCCGGCGGACGAUCGCGGUAAGGGCAUCGCGCCCUAGGUAGAGACCGCCCGAGAUGUUUAUUUACUCUAGUUGCAUACCCCUUUUACUAUAUCAUCUUUUGUACUUGAUGAUUUGGUUAUUAAAGAAAAGAAUAUGUAUGUUGUAAAAGAUCCUUACAUUUAAAUGCAAGAAUGACAUUUUGAGAUCCUAUGAUGUAAAAGAAAAGAAAUGAUGCAAAGAUUGUAAUCCGUUCAUAAGUGUAGUUGUUUACCUUCACUCUUGGCUAUUGCUUGCCCUCGUGCAAGCCAUUGUGUAUGCUUCCGCUUAUGCAAUUUCUAUACUCUAUCUGUACCUGUUGUUAAGCCUUGGGCGUACAGGGGAAGCUCUGUCUGUUCGGUGUCUGUUCGACGCACUCGAACCGGCCAAAAGGAUCGGGCUCGGGGCUUGACAAUAAACCAAACCUCAUGAACCAAAUCCCAUAAACCAUACACCAAGUUCAUGAACCAAAUCUCAUGAACCAUGAACCAAAUGCCAUAAACCAUAUCCAAGUUCAUCAACCAAAUCGCAUGAACCAUAUCAAAUGCCAUAAACCAUAUCCAAGUUCAUGAACCAAAUCUCAUGAACCGUGAACCAAAUACUAUAAACCGAACCGUGAACCAAUUCCAUAAACCAAGUUUAUAAAUCAAAUGAACCAAAUUCAUGAACCAUGAACCAAGUUCAUACACUAAACCAGCGAAUCAUAUCCAAGUUCAUGAAUCAUAUCCCACAUACCGAACCUCAUGAACCAUACACCGAGUUCAUGAACCAUAAACCAAACCCCAUGAACCAUACACCAUGUUCAUGAACCCAAUCCCAUAAACCAUGCCUAAGUUCAUGAACUAAAUAUCAUGAACCAUACAUCAAACCCUAUGAGUCAUAAACCUCAUGAACCAUACACCACAUCUCAUGAACCAAAUCCCAUACACCAAACCCAAUGAACUAUAUCCAAAUUCAUGAAACAAAUCCAAUACCUAUGAACCAUACAUCAAGCUCAUGCCCAAAGUUCAUCAUGAACCUUUUCUUUACUCUAGCUCGUAUACCUAGAGUAAAAAAUCAAAUGCAAAAUCGACUACCCCUAAUAUAUAUACUUAGAGCUAAAUCAAUCACCUUAGUACAUAUAACUAAGGCAAAAUCAUCUCCAAAUCGACAGAGUUCUAAGUUAUAUAUUUAGAAUUCAGUCAACUGUACCAGAUUUUAAUAUAAAAUUAAGUGUAAAUAAAAGUAGUAUGAGAUACUAUUUUUAUUGGACUUAAAGAAAUAAAAUGUAAGUCUGGAAUGACUUAUGCUAAAAUUGGAAUGAAAAACAGGAGAUUUAGAAUUUUCUGUGAGAAACGGGACUAAUAUUUUAGCAGAAAAUGCACAGUGUCAGAACAUUAUGAAAAUGUAAGAAUAUGUCGGGAUUAUUUUUAUGAGGCUAGAUUUAAAAUUUCAUGCUAUUCUAACACCGGAAAAGUGAAAAAUAAAAUCCAACUACUAUCUGCUAGAGAUUAUAGUUCGGUAGGACUUUCAGUCACCAAAAAAUGGUCCAAACUGGAUAGUUAAGAUAUUUUAUUUUUUAUUAAGUAAAACCGAGCCUGACUGUCAAAUUUGAGAGAGAACGGACAUUCAGAAGAGCUCCGGCGAAGAGGAACAGAUUCUGAGCUGCUAAACUGCUAGUGUGAAUAGUGUUAAGGGGCUAUUUAUGUAACAGGACCCUUCUCCUUCUCCCUCAACCGAGCACCACCAGCACCAACUCACGCACAAAUGGAGGGAGAGAGAAAAUCUCCCUUUCUCUCUCUAAAUAUCUCUUUCAUCUUUCUAGAUCUCUCCCUCAAAUUCACGGCGUUGGCGGAGAGCGAGCUUGUGAACGCGUUGGAAGCAACGGUUCGAGUCUUCGUGCGUCCGGUUGAGCAGCGUGCUUUCGACCCGGCGUUCGCAAUUUCGGUAAGUGUUUAGAAUUUGGUUUAAUUCUUAAUGCUUAGUAUUCUAGUAGUCUCUAGAGUGUUUCUAGCAUGUCGCUGCAUUUAAUUUUGGAAUAUUAGAAGGUUAAUUGCAUGCUAGGGCUAUGUAAUAUACCGAAAAUUCGAAAAAUAAAUAUCGAACUUUAGUCAAAUUGACCAAAGUGCGAGGAUGGUACACUUCGGAAAGUCCGAAGGUGUUAAAAUGAUCAAAAACGUGUUAUGGGAGGUUUUCGAGAGCUAGGGAAUCAAAAAUCUGCAAACUGCAGCUUUUGAGCUCUCGGGGACCGGUCCCUGGUGGGAGAGACCGGUCCCCGAACGCGUAUGAAAUGAGACAGCCGAAAAAUCGGCUAAGUCCUGGAGGAUUAGCUCUCGGGAAUCGGUCUCUGUCUGAGAGACCGGUCCCCCAGAGACCGGUCCCACCAGAGAGGGACCGGAUGCAUUGCGCGCGGCAGCUCUAGCUGCGCAGGGUGGACCUUCGGGGACCGGUCCCUGCUCGGGGAGACCGGUCUCUGCCUGCGAAAACUGCCCAGUCCNNNNNNNNNNNNNNNNNNNNNNNNNGGAGACCGGUCUCUGCCUGCGAAAACUGCCCAGUCCGGGCUGUGUGAAAUAGUGAAAGCUGAAGGGUUUAUUUGCAUUUUUGCAACCCAUGGGUUAAGUGGAGGGCUGAGAGAGCCUUUUCUCUCAUUCUCCCCCUCACACACACUCUCUUCUCUCUCUCUCUCUCUGUAGAAGACAAAGGAGAAGAAGAAGAAAGGAAGAAAAGAAGGAGAAGAAGGAAAAGAAGGUGAAGAAGAAGAUCAAGGAGCAAAGGAGCUUCAUCUUCUUCCUCUCUAGUGCAAGAAUAGGAAGCUUACAAGGUAAGCUUUGAACCCUAAUGUAGUAAAACCCUAGAAAUGAGUUUGAAUGAACCUAGAAAUGGUUGUAAUGGAUUGUUUAGAGUUUUUGAAGCUUUCUCUUUGCUUCUUUAGAGAUCAAAACCUUGGUUUGCUUUAGAGGUGAGCUUGGACCACCUCUCAUGGUGAAAUCCAAACUAGGGUUUUGGAAAGCCUAAGAAUGGUUCUAAUGGACUAUUUAGAGUAUAAUGAAGCUACUUUUGCUUCCCAAUGAGAUCAAACCCUAGGUUUACACAUGCAUUGGAGCUAGGGCACCCAAAUUGGGGCUUUUGCUCAUAAGGGUUUCUAAGUGAAAUUGACCCUUCAAAAACCUAAUUGGGGGUAUUUCCGACGCGUUGGUGCGCUCGGAUUUACGUUACGAAAAGCCAAUGUAAAGUUAUGGCCAAAUAAGCCUAAUUUGGCUUCGUUAUGCCGCAGGUAAAGAACGAAGAGUCUAAAAAUCCCAAGAAAAUCAUCGGAGCACCUUUGAAGGCCUACGAGGUGGGUGGUGCUUCUCAAACUCGUUGAACUUCCCUCUAUGCCUAAUGUGUCAUUCAUUUGAGCAUAUAUAUAUAUAUGUUGUUGCAUGCAUUUUAGGGUAAAGUGAUGAUGAAAAUGUAAUGUGCAUGAUUGUGAGUACAACUUGCAUAAUAUGAUGAAUGAGAACCUUAUGAAUGUUAGAACCCUAUAUGUAUGCAUGAGAGAAAAGUGAGCACCCAAAGUGAGCAAAAGAACAGAGUGGCACAAUGACAUAGAUCGAGUGGCAUUUAAAAACGUAAAGUAAAGUGACACUAGAGUUAGUGUGAGCCAAAGAACCAAAGUGAGGUAAAGAAUCAUGAAAAUGACAAUGUGUAAAGUUAAAGUAAAGUGGGGCAAUAAGAACGAGAAAUGUAAAGAACAAGAAUGCUAAAGAUGGCAAAAGUAAAAGAAAAGUAAAGAAUGGGAUUGCAUGAGUUUGCAACAUAAAGUGAUGUAAAGGACACUAGAGCUAGUGUAAAGUCAAGAUUGAACUUAUGAAAUCCUUUGAGUUUAGGAUAUGAUCAUACUUGCUAUGAGUUCCGUGCUCGAGGGCGGUCGCUCCCCCUCGGGCGAUGCGCUCCGGAGUUAUGCAUCACGGGUUGGAGUAAACCCGAAGGACGGUCCUAGCGGGUGAGUUCCUGCGAUGAUGGACUUAAUGUGAAGCAAGUUAAUGUGGCGAUACCCCCGGGUUAGCCUUGAGAUUAAAGAACAAAGAGCAAAGAACAAAGUGCAAAGAACAAAGAACAAAGAACAAAGAGUAAAGUGAAAAGAACAAAGAAUUUGCAUAAUCUGCAUUUAUUUAAUGUUGAGCAUACUCCUUGCUUUAUUGUUCAGGCAUAUUAGCAUCAUGUAUAGAUUGGUUACUAAAUGCAGCUUAUUCUUUCUAUUAUGCCUGAGUUAGUCCUAGUGGGAAAGUCGGUGAUGUUGAGGCCGAACCCACUGGGAACUUUGUUGUAGUUCUCACCCCACUAUUUCCACAGAGCCGGGACCGAGCGAGCCGGCGAGCGACCGAGGUAAAGGUAUCGCGCCUUAGUCAGAGGCCACCAAAGUCGGAUUUCAUUUUGUAGUAAAGUACCCUAUGAUCAUCUUUUGUAUAUGAUGGUAAAUGAUGUAAAGAAAAGAAUGUAAUGUGUAUUUUGAGGUAAAUGUGAUGUAAGAAAGAAAUGAUGAAACGAAAUGUAAGGAAUUCGAAAAAUUACAAGUUGGAUGUAUGUAUAUGAUCUAAAUUGAAUCAUACUACAAGCGAAUGUUUAGUUUUCCUUUCUUUCACUAAUGGCUAUUGCUUACCCUCAUGUAAACCGUUUGUGUAUGUUUCCGCUAGUGCAAUUCUUGUUUGAAUUUUGUACAUGUGAUGAGCCUUGGGCGGAUAGGGGAAACUCUGUCCGUUCGGCGUCUGUUUGACGUGCUCGGGUCGGGCCAAAUUGGUAUCGGUCCCGGGGCGUGACAGGCUAGAAGAGGGAUUCUUGUAAAUAUAAGGGUUUGAUCUAAAUUGGACCCAUGUAAACCUAAUUGCUAGGUAUUCUGACGUGUUUGCGAAGACGGUUCGGCAAUCCGUCGAGGCUACGCAAAGAUAUUGGGAAAAUGGACCGUUUGGCUUCGUUUCCGCCUGGAGGGCCGAGGCGGCGUCCAAAAAUUACGAAAAUGGAUUCCUAGCAUCGCGGCAUCUAGAUGAAGCCCUUUAAAACUCGAGGCUGCGGAUUGACGCAUGGUUGGUGAUUAUUUGCAAGACCAGGCCGAACCGGACGACGAGUGCCGCGGGAGGCCGAUUGCAAGUGUCGACAAGCAAUCGGAGAGCGUUGCAAGGUGGGUUGUGCUCACCAAAAUAUUUAGUUCGCUUCCAUGUCGAAACAAAGUGAUGUUUAUUAUUGAUGCAUAUAAUGGUAGUUAAUUGUUAAACAUGUAAAGGCAUGAAAUGCUAGAAGAAUACAUGAGAUCAAUGCUAUGUUAGACUACCAUGAUACUAUAGGAAUGCAUGAGAUAUUAUAUGAAUGCAUGUCAUUUAGGUUAUAUGAAUGCAUGAAAAUGAUACUAUAGGAAUGCAUGAGAUGUUAUAUGAAUGCAUGUCAUAGAGGUUAUAUGAAUGCAUGAAAAUGAUACUAUAGGAAUGUAUGAGAUGCUUGACUACCAUUAGAUGACAAAAACAUAUACAUGUUAACAUAUUGUGGAUUGACAUAUUGUGGAUUAUGUUAAUUGACAUAUGCAUGUUGAACUUGGGUCGAAAACUCUAGGUUGAUUAGAGAGUUCGACAUUGAAAAAUAAGAAUAUGAAAACUGUGAUACUCGAUGUGGACUAGUAGAUUGUCAAGUAGAUCGAGUGGCAUUUGGACUAGUGUAGUAGAGACACUAUGACAUGAACAUAGGGAUAGAUGAUUUCCUGAGUCAUGGAUAUGUGCCACAUGAAACUAGUAUAGUAGAGACACUUGUGACAUUAUUGUUGGGAUUAGUGGAUUUCUCGUGUCGUUGUUAAACCUAGUAGACAGGGUAUCCUCGAGUAAGAGGAUUGGAUCAUACUCACUUAGUCUGUUUUUACUUGGCAUGGUGACUCCACCCAAGCAGUGGUCUCCGAAAUACUUCACGAUAGGGAUAGACGUAGUUGUCACGCAAACUGUCUCGGUGUACGAGUGCAGAUUCUCCUCACCUAUGAGAUUUUCAAAGUGAGUCGGGGUUUAACCUUUUGGUCAGCCAGUGAGAUUGGUGACAUUUUUAUGAGCUAUGGAUGAAUCCCAGCAUAGUGGAUUGGCAUCGCAGUUGGUAUCCCAGUUGAGUGGAUUUAAGGCUAAGGUGCAAGUGAGAUGUCCUUUACUUUGAGCCUGGCUUUGCGCGGUAUUCCGCGGAUGAUUGACUCAAGACCGAGUCGAGUGGAUAGCUUUGUAAAGGUUGAUGAAACCUUGUGAGCAACAGUAAAGAUAGAUGAAACCUUAUGAGCAGAAUUGUAAUUGACAUGAAUCCAAAAUAGGGAAAAACUUAGAUGUCAAUUCGAUGAGCUGUGAAUAGCGAGUAGAAUUAGUAGAUCUACUUACCUCAUUGCAUAUUGAGUUGCAUGAUUUGUAUUGUUGCAUGUUGCGAGACAUGAAUGUGAUAAAUGUUAGUUGCAUAAAAUAUUUGAUGAAAUAUAUAUAUAUAUAUAUAUCUGUGGAUACUUGUUGGACUAACAUGUUGCAGUGCCUCCUUCGGACCUGGUGGGUCGAGCUUUUCCCUUGGGUGGCCGUACCCACUGGAAACUAUGGACAAUAGUUCUCACCUCCGUGUUGUUUUUGGGGGUACAGGUUCACACGUGAGCCGCGCGGCGGUGCGAGGACACGGCGUAGCUUCGUAGAUAGCGCUCUACCACUGAGACCAAAGAUAGCGGUACCCCGAGUCAGCCUACCUAGGGGUGUAGAAAAGAGAAGGAAAUCAUUAUUUAUGUAAUCUUGAUUGUAUUUGGGAGAAAGGAAAAUGAAAAUAUAAUAUGUAAAAAGCAUGUGAUGUGAAUGCUUGUAAUAGCUUAGUUGUUUUAUGUUUUUUAUACCUCCUUAUGCAAUCUCUGCGUGAAAUCUAUUCUUGGUUGGAACCUCGCCCUUUGUAUUGAUUGUGACGCCUAGGACGUACAGGGGAAACUCUGUCCGUUCGGCGGUCUGUUAGCGGGCCCCGAAUCCGACCAAAUAGGGGGGUCUCGGGGCGUGACAUAUACACUCAGGAAUUAGCCAUUCUCUACUUUCGGGUAAUAUCAAAUCUGACCUACCUCAAUACAUAUACUUGGGGUAUGGUCACAUCUCCACCUUAGAAUAUACAACCAAGGUGAAUAUAAUCGGACUCUAAGACAUAUACUUAGAGCCAAUUAGACUCUAAUACAUAGAGUUUAAUAUCGACUAGAUCUUAACACAUAUACUUAAGACCUAGUCAAUCUCAAAUCCAACUGAAUCCUAAUACAUAUGCUUAGGAUUCAAUAAACCAAGAUACGAUUCAUUCAAUCCCACCUAUAAAGGUCUCUUAAUCGAAUGUGCCCCAAUGCGACGGGGGUAAUUAACACUAGAUGCUUGCAUCUAUUGAAAGCCAUGGAUCCGCGAUACCUGAUACCCAUAUACAUAUAAAUACUAAUCUGAAUCAUGAAUACUACCCCACGGCCAAAUCCAUCGACCGUGCGAGGUGCGUCAUUCGUGGUGGCAGACAAUACUAGGGAGGAACCGUAAAUCCAAAAAGAAAACAUUGUAUCAAACAAUACGUCAUUUGUACUUAAACGAUUGAAUUUCAUACUUAAAUAGACGAUUAAAACUAAUAGUCUAUAAAUGGUGCAACUUUCCUUGCAAUAGGUUAUUUUAUUGCAUUAAUCGUUCAAAACUGAAAGCAAUAGUGCAAAUGUUGUGUCAGUAGAAUCGAAAAUAGUGCAAUCUCUACGCUGAAGAGUGCAAAAUAUUUGUAGAGAAAUGCAACGGAGAGGAGCUGUAAGCGGUGGGUAAUACGUUCAAGAAUCCUGCCCUUGGGGUGUGUAAUAGCCACUUUCCCUUCCCGAGGAAAGCUCUAAAUUCGUGGGCAUUAAAUGACCGUGAUCGUGGUUACGCAACCUCCCAGUCCUCGGUUGGUGAACCAAAGAGGCCACGCUAUUGGCUAGCCCCGGUGUUUGCUGUAUAUUAUUUCAAAUUUUUACAUUUUGAAGAUAAAUGUGACCCGUAUCAGGAAUAAUGGUGCAACAAGCACCAAAAUAAUGCACCAACCCUUAUAAAGGCGCACCUACGACCACAUAAUAGUGCAAUAUUGGUCUCUAAUAGUGCAACUAUGUGGCAAUCUGUGCAAGACAGUUUCAAUGAGUGCAGCGUCCCACUUCCCUCCAUGCAAGCCGUGAGUUUUGUCUACUUUUGUCCGUCUCGUUCGGCGUUUGCAAAGGAGAAGUGGAAGAAGCGUGGAUGAUGGACAUGGCUUUAGGCUUAUGAACUAGAAGUCGGAAGAUGGAGGAGGGGGACAAGGUGGUGACCAGUAAGGCGCUACGAAACUGCUGAGCAUCAAAAUAGUGCAACAUUCUGUCCUAAAUAGUCUAAGUAGUCCCUAACCAGUGCAAUUUUUUCUCUGUAUUUAGUGAUAAUUUGAAGGUAAUAGUGUAACGUAAAAAGCAAAUAAUAGUGAAACUUGGAGAAAAUGGGUGCAACAAAGCUUGUAAGUGUGCAGUGCAGUUGUAAUACUAGUGGAACAUCCACCGUAAUAAUGCAAUGCUAUUCAAACCAGUGCAACAUAAGAGUGCAACACUUGCUGAAUUAAGUAUUUGGCUAAAUUACAAAAAACUCCUUUGUCAAAACCCAAUUUUUUACUUUUCCUCCCUGUCAUUUAAAAACCUACACUUUGCCCCCUUGUAAAAUGAAAAAUGUUUACUUCACCCCCUGCCGUUAGUAAUCCGUUAGGGUUUCGUUUAUAAAAUAUUAUUAUAUAUUUUUUUUAUGCCAAAAAUACCCUCAGCCUUCUCUCUUGUUGCUAAAAAUGGUGGGGGGCCAAAUGGUCAUUUUGUCAUCACAAUUUACACCGUAAGUCCCUGUGACCAUUUUUUAUUUUAUAAGGGGGCAAAGUGUAGGUUUUUAAAUGACAUGGGGGGAAAGUGAAAAAUCGGGUUUUGACAGAAGGGUUUUAUGUAAUUUAGCCUAAGUAUUUUAAAACUUAAAAGUGUAACCCAAUAUUAUAUGGUGCAAUAUACAGCUGGAGCUUUAGCAAGUCUUCACUAACUAUUGAAAAGGCUUUCUUUAUUAAUUUUGUACCAAAGAUUAUAUUGUCUUUGGCGAAAAUGCAACACAAAAGACACGAUUUGCAUACAAUACCAGGUUCUAUUACAUCCACUGUAACAAACUCCUCAAAAUAAUUAUUUAACAAAAGUAAAAUUUUUUCCAAAAAUAUCAAAUCAUCUAACCUUUUUUUGCGAUUCCACGCGCACGGAGCUAACACUACUUUUCGUCUAACAAGUAUAGGCGGCCAGG